AACAAAAAAAACCCUUUUAAAUUAAAAAAAUAAAAAUAAAUAGAUAAAAUGGUUGUCAAAAUUCUAGUGAAGGUUAGAUCCGGGUCUCCUGUGUACUGUAUCAAGAAGAAUGUAUCUUAGUUUUAAAUUUUUAGAUGAGUGAAAUAAAAGAGACACAAGGCAAGGGUCAUUGUACAGAACAUGAUUUUGUUUAUAAUCCAUUCUUCUUUUCAUCUCUCUGGAUAUUCCUGAGUUGCCCUUCCGUCUGGAUGAUGAUGUCUACGGCUAGCCUAGGGCCUUGGGAGCACGCUGACCACUGCUCAUGCCUCAGAAGGAAUGGUGUCAGUCUCCUUGAAACACUGGGCCAAAUACAUAAGCUCUACACUUACUCUUGGUGUUUACAUGAAGACCCCAUACUUGUGUGAGUAAUAUUCAGUAUUAUUUUCUUGUUUUGCUCAGAGGAAUGCUCUAUGGUAUUAUAGAGUGUUGAAUGUAUCUGAGCAAAGGAUUUGUUCUUCUCAAGAACAAAAUAUCAGAGGCACUUCUAUUGUGUCUGAAUUAACAUGUUAAACAAAAAAACAUGCACACAUUAGUAGAGAAAUAGAAAGCUGACACAUACCGAUGAUGACAUUCCCGCUGGCGAUAUAAGUCAUGGACGAUGACUACAAAAAAUGUCUGAGGUUGACAUCAUAACACAUCCUAUGUGCCCCACUUAGCAAGGGAAUAAAAGUUAGGCAUUUGGUGCACAUAGUGGUCAUUAGCAUCAGGUUAUUUCAUCUAUUUUCUUUGUAUAUCAUUGAAACAUUUUAUAAAUAUUUACACAAAAAAUGAGGAUAAAUUUUUGAAUCAUUGAUCAACUAGUAAAUAAAUAUUUUACCACAAAUGCUACUACUAUUUGUGGAUACUAUGAAAGUCUGUUAAGAAAUAAUUGGCAUGAAAUGUAUAUAAACUUUAUCCAAGUUCAUAUAUGAAAUAUCAUUAAUGGAUUACGCCCCAGUUAGGGUCAAGACCUUAAUUUUGAAUCUUACUUGAUUUGUAAAGACACUAUCAUAACAAUGUAAAACCUAAAUAACAAAUAGUGAAAGGAUUAUUCUAGAAAUAAUUUGAAAAAUAUCAAUGUUUUUAUUAUCUUCCUGGCUGUGUACUCCAUGGAUGUAUGCUGGGUAACACAUGAUUGCUGGACUGCGAGAUCCAGGGUUGCCAUGUCCUCUUGCAUAUGGAUCAAGGGAACUGAAAAUGGAUUCCACAUCCAAGCUGAUUUUCACACUCUCCCUUGGUCGUGAGCCUCAUAAUGAGCUGUUUCAGACAGUAAAAUAGACACAGUGUGAAUACAGUCUGCAUUCUGAUGUCCAUUCAUGAUGCUUCAAAAGGCCAUUUCCCGUACUGAUAAGAGCAACCAUGGCAAAUGCUGAAUGUGAAUGGAUACCUCUAAGCUGUUUUACAUAUUCUUUCUUAGUCCUGAAGUUUGAAGUUCACUGUUCAUGUAUGAAAGAUAAAGAUUGUAAUGGAUAUCCUGCAAGCUGAUUUUAUGCUAUCUGAUUUGGAACUGAACCUCAUGAUCUAGCCUCUUGUGUUUGUAGGAUAGACAGCAUAAUGGAUAACCCCAAGCUGAUGUAUAUAUUCUUCCUUGGUUGUGAGAUUCCUGCUCUGGUCAUUGUGGUCCUAAGACAGACACGGUGGUGUGUAGUCAAUGUACAUGCCUUGGCUUUGUUUAUUUUUAAAGACUACAUACACUAUUGUUGAACUACUGCUCAUCCUCCAGAAGAACAACCUUUUCCAAUUGCCAGAAUGAACACCUGCAGGCUGAUUUACACACUCUUCCUUGGUUGUAAGCUUCUUGAUCAGCUCUUUGUGCUUGCAAUAUAGACACAGUGAUGGAUUUCCCCCAAAACUUGAUUUACACAUUCUCCUUUGGUUUGGGGCUUCCUGAUCAGCUCUUUGGGCUCGUUAUGUAGACACAGUAACAGCUACCCCCAAGCUGAUUUUACACAUUGUUCCUUGGUCAUGAGCUUCUUGAUCUGCUGUUUGUGUUCAUAGGAUAGAUACAAUGGAUGGAUUUCCCCCAAAGUUGAUGUACACAUUCUCCUUUGGUUGUGAUCUUCAUGAUUAGCUCCUUGGGUUCAUAAUAUAAAUACAGUAAUAGAUGCUAUCAACACUGAUCACCGGGUUCAUGGAGCAUAGGGACCAAUCAUAGAUGUUUCUGAGUGAUAUUCAUCUUCUGGUCACCAAGUCCACAGUUACCCUGUGUGUGAGGAACACAGAAACUCAUAAAGGCCAGCUCCAGAACAAUAGAUGGAUCCUGCCUGCUCCUGAGUUCUAAGGAUGCCUGUGUUUUUAGGAUCCCAGCUACAAUUGGAUCAGGGAACCCUCUGGAAGAGGAGGUGG